AAGACAGACUUUUUGUUUGUUUGUUUGUUUAAAAAUUGCACUUACGACUUUGAAUAGAAUUCUGUAUUCUGAAUCUUUUACCAUGUCUAGGGGAGAAGGGGGGCUUAAGAAGUUCUAGAAAAGUAAACAGGCAGGCAAUCUGCGUGUUUUUUGUUGCCCUAGUGAAUUCGAGUCCCAGUGGAUCGAAUCUGGUUAAUAAUGUGGAAAGUGGCUGUAAAUACGGCCAGGGCACAAAUAAAAGAAUGACAAUCCAACCUGUGUCCAACUAUCACAGCCAAAUAAUGGCUCAGGGCUCUACUUUCUUGGACUAUAAGGCAUCAACAUCCCAUCUGCGGUUCAAGUAAACCUCGCCUCUCAGAAGUAACGUACAACACUAUGUGAAGCUUCAGGAAAACUUCUGAGGCCAUGGGAAACAAGUCUCUUGAUUUAGGCUUAUUGCUUUCCUAAACUUUUCAUGCUUACUCAAGUAACUUAAAUUUUGAGGAGGAAUACAAAGAGCAACACAAAUGAUAAAAAUAGAAACCAAGAAUGUAAAGUGAAUCAGUGGUACUUGCUAUAAAUUUCAAAAAGCAAAAAUGUUUCCUUAGGAAACAUGUUCACAUGCUAAUGGAAUUAAGAUAAGUUGUUAGCUACCAACCAAGUGUAAUUCUGAAAACACGACUCCUCUUCCAUUUUAUUAUUAAUAGGCUCAAUUUCUGACUGCUAGCCUUAAAUGCUCAGAGAAGACAGGUUUAGAGUAUAUCUAUCAGAGGACAAUAGAACACUGGAUUUUUUGAAGUCUCAAGGUUCCUUAAGGUUAAAUGGAAGAGCUACCAUAGGCACAGUUUCCCUUGUAUGUGAGCUCCGGAAACACCUAGCUACUGGCUGGCAUAGGUAAUAAGUUAUUCGAAUUGGGCUGAGAAAACUUGCAGUUGCUUGAGUGGCUCCCCGGGGAGAGAGAGAGGAAGGGGAGGGAAGCCCCUGUCGGUGGCUAGACACUAAAUCAACAAUAGCAAAGGCAUUAUUCGAGAACCCGAGGGCGUCCUAUAGUCCAUCUAACAGUACAUUAAAAAGGAGAGCAAGUUUCUGAAAGCAAUUCUGAUCUGUUAGCCGAGUUUAGUGACUUGGCGAUGAGGAACCGGAAUAAAUGUGAAGAACCAACUCUCGGGACAGAAUAGGAAGCAGCAAAUAGACGUCUCAGAGAAGAAGGACAAAAAUGUGCCCUUGUUACCUUGCUGGGCUUGCAUCUGGAGUCACUAUGCCUGGUUCACUUUCUGAUUGGUUGGAUUCCAAUUAAAUGGUGGUGUCUAUCUUAACCCCCGAAUCAAGCACUGAGAGACUUUCGAGGUGGACUUUUGAAAGAGGUUUUGAGGGAACGGUGACGCUGGUUGUACUGACCUGCAGAAGAUGGUGGGCCUGGGUCUGAAAGGCGGACGCCGUUGCCCCCAGGCAGCUGCCAAAGGAAGAACAUGACCACAGAGCUCAUGAACUCAAGUGCUUCCCGGGGAAAGCGAAGCCAUUUUCACACGAACUUUGGUGCCUUCUGCUCUAAGGUUUCAGAUGGUGCCUUUAAAGUUUAAAGGGACCAGCACUGCUCUGUGAUCCGUGCUGGGAAGCCAAGCUCGCCACACCUCUCUCUUGGAUCACAGCCUACACUUCACUCCCAUAAGCGCGCCGCGGGGGAGGGGGGGGGAGACUGCCCUGUCCACCCCUGCUGAAACAGGGCCGUGAUGUUAGCUAACGGGAACAGUGGCCGAAUCAACCUGUAAGAGGCCAACAGGAAUAAAAUCAUCGUGCCCAAAUGGGACUUCUCCAGGUGCACUGAAGCAGAAUUCUACCAUGUACCAAAGCUCCUUAAUGAAAGAUUAUACUUUGUUGGGAACAUCCUGCUGAUAUUUUUCCCCCCAUCGGAGGCAUUUCCCAGUUCCCUUGUUCCUGGUUUUAUUAAUUUUAUAACCAUCUCUGAACUGAAAGAAUUGACAGUUGAGAUUACCAGACUUCUGCUCAGCACAGCUGGAUCUGCAGAAGGAUGAAUUUAGGGAGCCAAUAGGUGGGAAUGUUUUUAUUUUUUGUUUUUGUUGUUGUUGUUUUUUACAUGAAGAGUAAGAAGACCUUCGUCCUGUUUUUAGCUCUGCCUUUAGUAACUGUAAGACUCUGAACUUCAGCUGGAAUAGAAGCAUGCAGAUCCUGAUCUAUUUACCUCACUGGGUUGUUAUAAGAACUAAAUGAAAUAAUGAGUGUGUAAAAGUGCUGUCUUUUAACCACUGUGAAAACCCUCUGCAAAUGGAAGGAAGCUUUAUCGUGUUAGCUAAAAUUCUGUACAUGGCGGUACUAACUUCUCCAAUGAAUGUAAAAUUUGUGCUGUACAAGUGGAAUCACAGCAAGCUUACACCUGAACUUGAAACUCUGAGCAAACGGAGCCAAUGGACAUUACUGGGUAGCUGGCUUUCAAUUCUUGGUUGUAAUUUUAUUUUAGUUGCUUUUCACAAAUAAUGAUACUGACAGCUAUCAUUUAUUGAGCACUUGCUAAAUGGAAAGCACUCUUCUAAGUGCUUUAUAUGCCAUAACUCAUUUAACCCUCAUAAAAUCCUAUUGUCUCCAGCUUAAAGAUGCAGACACAGGUGAUGAGCCCGAGUAAUUGCUCCAGGAUCUGCACGUACCACAGAGGAGCUCAGAUCUGAACCCAAUCCACUGGUUCUAGAACCUGUGCUCAUCUCUCCUAUAUCAUUUGCCUCUUCCCACAAAGGCCCAUUACAGGAAGUCGUGCAUUGCACACAAAUAGCACCAAGCUCAAAAACCACUGGGGGGAGGAUGCCAAUAAGCUGGAGACAGGACCAAUCCUAACACUGGCAAUAUGGGCUCAUCUGUCAUAUCCCACAUCCACACGAGCAACCCACAAGCAAUUGUAUGAUCAAGGGCUUUCAGCAAUGAAAUUACCCUCUGUUGGAGGAGAACCCCACCUAGUUUAUUUGGUUCUGCUGCUGCCCUGAACACUCCUGGCAGUACUAUCUGCUUUAGAAAGUAUAUAAAGUGGCAGGGUACCCUUAUGACUGCCCACCUCACUUCCUGAUAACUGGGAACUGCUUAGACUUCAUAUGAAGGAGGUGGUUCUACACCCUGAGCUGUCUCUUCUGCAGUCACAUGGCCCAUUUCUGCUGGGAACUUUCUAUGCCUGGUGAUUGGCAGAUAAAUGACCUCAGAGGCUGGGCUUCAUAAGAAUGAGAAGCAGGGGGCAUUUCCACAGAGAUUCUCUCCUUGAAGGGCUCGCUAAAACGAAAUGAGUUUCUGGGAGAGAUUUUCUUUGCACGUGUGAGGGCACACACACUGUCUUCUUACCAGAAUAACAACCUGCUUACCUGCUGGUUGCUCCUCUCCCUGCACCAGGCCAACAAGCCCUUUAUACUCAACUAUGAUGAGUGAGGGAUGAGCUCCCCCCAAAUCCUGAGCCCCACACAUGCUCUAGCUGUCCUUUGUGGCUUCCUGUGGUGAGCUGGGAAGAAGCGGGGCACAAAAGUUAUAAAGACAGCUGAGGAUGGCCAGGUCUGGGGAC